rnacentral:rRNA from 1 species
AGUGAACGCUGGCGGUAGGCCUAACACAUGCAAGUCGAACGGCCGCACAGUAAGAGCUUGCUCUUACGGGUGGCGAGUGGCGGACGGGUGAGGAAUACAUCGGAAUCUACUUUUUCGUGGGGGAUAACGUAGGGCAACUUACGCUAAUACCGCAUACGACCUACGGGUGAAAGCAGGGGAUCUUCGGACCUUGCGCGAUUGAAUGAGCCGAUGUCGGAUUAGCUAGUUGGCGAGGUAAAGGCUUACCAAGGCGACGAUGCGUAGCUGACCUGAGAGGAUGGUAGGCCGAACUGGAACUUAGACACGGUCCAGACUCCUACGGGAGGCAGCAGUAGGGAAUAUUCCGCAAUGGGCGAAAGCCUGACGGAGCAAUGCCGCGUGAGUGAUGAAGGUCUUCGGAUCGUAAAACUCUGUGAUUAGGGAAGAACAAAUGUGUAAGGAAAUCUGCACGUCUUGACGGUACCUAAUCAGAGAGCCACGGCUAACUACGUC